UCGGUGUUCUCUUGCUGCAAUCUCCCCACCUCCUUCUGGUGAAUCUUCAUCUGCCUGAAGUAAUGAUCCCUCUCGGUGAUAUAAUGAUCUCUAUCCACGAUGAUCUUCACAUUCUCUGUUUCCUUAAUCUUCAGCUUUGCCUCCCACUCAGUGAUGAGGACUCUAACUCUGUCUUCCCUCUGAUUCCUUACGAGAAUUUGCCUCCUCUUCUGAUCUUCGAUGACCUUUGCAGCUCUGGCUAGCUUCUCCUUAGUGAUGUCAUGCUCCUUUGUAGACGACGCUAAAGCUUG
rnacentral:lncRNA from 1 species